rnacentral:rRNA from 1 species
AUUGAAUGCUGGCGGCAUGCCUUACACAUGCAAGUCGAACGGUAACGGGCCUUCGGGUGCCGACGAGUGGCGCACGGGUGAGUAAUGCAUCGGAACGUACCUUUCAGUGGGGGAUAACGUAGAGAAAGUUACGCUAAUACCGCAUCUUCUGUGAGCAGGAAAGCAGGGGAUCGCAAGACCUUGCGCUGAUUGAGCGGCCGAUGUCCGAUUAGCUAGUGGGUGAGGUAAAGGCUCACCAAGGCGACGAUCUGUAGCGGGUCUGAGAGGAUGAUCCGCCACACUGGAACUGAGACACGGUCCAGACUCCUACGGGAGGCAACAGUGGGGAAUUUUGGACAAUGGGGGCAACCCUGAUCCAGCCAUGCCGCGUGAGUGAAGAAGGCCUUCGGGUUGUAAAGCUCUUUCGGUCGGGAAGAAAUCGCAUGGGUUAAUACCCUGUGCGGAUGACGGUACCGGCAUAAGAAGCACCGGCUAACUACGUGCCAGCAGCCGCAGUAAAAC